rnacentral:rRNA from 1 species
AUUGAACGCUGGCGGCAGGCCUAACACAUGCAAGUCGAGCGAGCGGAGGGCGGGGGAGUAAUGUAUGGGGACUGCCCGAUAGAGGGGGAUAACAACUGGAAAAGGCGGCUAAUACCGCAUAAGAUUGGAUAACCCAUAUGGGAUUAGCUAGUAGGUAAGGUAAUGGCUUACCUAGGCGACGAACCCUAGCUGAUCUGAGCGGAUGAUCAGCAACACUGGGACUGAGACACGGCCCAGACUCCUACGGAGGCAGAAGUGGGGAAUAUUGCACAAUGGGUGCAAGCCUGAUGCAGCAAUGCAGCGUGGAUGAAGAAGGCCCUAGGGUUGUAAAGUACUUUCAGUCGGGAGGCGUUACCGACAGAAGAAGCACCGGCUAACUCCGUGCCAGCAGCCGCGGUAAUAC